AUGGCUGUUGCAGCACAUCCUUUAGAAUUUAAAUUACAGAAAGAAAGUGAUAAUCGAAUGGUUGUGAAAAGGAUAUUUUCAAAAGCUAUUGUUGACAAUAAAAAUUUAUCCAAAGGCAAAACUGAGCUUCUGGUACUCUUUUUAAUGGAUUAUCAAAAAGAUGUUUUUAAGAUUCCUGGAACUCUACAUAAAAUUGUUAGUGUUAAGCUUAUGGCAAUACAGGAAGGAAAAGAUCCAAAUAAAGACACAAGGUAUAUUUGCUGCCAGAGAAUUGAUCCAAGUGUCUAUUCCAGCAGCACACAGAAGAAAACCAAAGAUGAACUGUUGAAUUUACUAAAAGCUAUUGAUGAGGAUUCAAAACUAUCUGCCAAAGAGAAGAAGAGAUUGCUAGGUCAGUUCUAUAAGUGUCAUCCAAAUAUUUUUACUGACUAUUUUGGAGACUGAAAUGUCUGUAUAUAAAUUUUGUAUUUUAAGGAUAAAUUAUGUAUCCCAAAGAUCUAGUCACAUUUGGAAGUUCUAAAUAUGAAACUGUACUUAAUAAAAAGUUAGAAAAAAGGCCGAAGAUU
rnacentral:lncRNA from 1 species